GAUUGGUUGCUGUCGCUACUGUGAUUGGACACUGACGCAGAGUCAACUAGCCUUGUGGGGCGGUUCUUCGGGGAGGAACCGGGGCGGUCCGAGCCAUGAGGGGGGAGGCUCGGACCGCCCGCC
rnacentral:ncRNA from 1 species